UGGGGAAUAUUGCACAAUGGGCGCAAGCCUGAUGCAGCCAUGCCGCGUGUAUGAAGAAGGCCUUCGGGUUGUAAAGUACUUUCAGCGGGGAGGAAGGGAGUAAAGUUAAUACCUUUGCUCAUUGACGUUACCCGCAGAAGAAGCACCGGCUAACUCCGUGCCAGCAGCCGCGGUAAUACGGAGGGUGCAAGCGUUAAUCGGAAUUACUGGGCGUAAAGCGCACGCAGGCGGUUUGUUAAGUCAGAUGUGAAGUCCCCGGGCUCAACCUGGGAACUGCAUCUGAUACUGGCAAGCUUGAGUCUCGUAGAGGGGGGUAGAAUUCCAGGUGUAGCGGUGAAAUGCGUAGAGAUCUGGAGGAAUACCGGUGGCGAAGGCGGCCCCCUGGACGAAGACUGACGCUCAGGUGCGAAAGCGUGGGGAGCAAACA
rnacentral:rRNA from 1 species